rnacentral:lncRNA from 1 species
CUACCCAGACAAGAGCUGACAUUAGCCCUUCUUCGUCUUCUCCUCCACACUAUCAUCAACUAACCACUUGUCUAUGCCUUCUACCUCAGAAACUGCCAAAUGUCCUUCUUACAUACACACUCUCACAUAUCCCACACCUUUCCCCACAACAUCUACCACUGUCACAACUACUCCUCCUAUCGACUCAGUAGGCACUCAUGUAUCUUCAACCAUGGAUCUUAGUGCCUUAAUUUUGGUUGUAUUUCCACUGCCAGCCGAAGAUGCACCUCCCAAUCAAAUACUGCCAUUAUUUCCAUUACCCACCCCUCCCUCUCCCUCUCUAUAAAACACACCACCACCACACUUACUACGACUCACCUAUACAAUUCAUCUACUUCCCUAACUUUCUCUCCACUUCAUCAUCAUGCAUCGCAACUACCCACUACGCUACCAACACAAUCGGGGAUGCAGGAUCAUUAGCAACAUCAACAUUAACAACUAUGAUCUUCCACCACUCUCCAUGGUGCCAUAUCCACAGAACCACCAACCUCACUAUCCUCAAUUACCCCUACCCGCUCAUCCUCACUCUCUAUCCAGUCAUCAACAUGUAACCACAUCCUCUACCGCAAAAAUUAGUUCUUAGAACUUGCCUCUCCUCCAGCAAUAAACAUCUACACUUCUCAACAACAACGAACUACUAAUAACAUUUAUCCAGAACAGAAUCCCAGAUUACUUGCAACAGGAUCAUGUCAUGACACAUCUCCAUCUCCAAGAUAUCAGAGCACUCGAGAUGCGCACUCAGAUCACGCAUGCAUAGGAACAGACUCAACAACUCCAGCAGCAUCAACAUCAAUGGCCUACACAUCCACCUCCCACAUACUAGCCCUACUUCAAUAACCUGCCACAGCACCCUCAGGAAAUUCCACUACCUCCUUUUCCCGAUGAGGAACAACUAAAUCCUCUGCCACCGAUACUGCCAGAAAUACCACCUCCUACCGCACUACCACUACCAAAGAUUCCUCCCCUUGAUGAUGAAGCACCACCACAAAACACUGUAGAGAUGUUCAUGAAGAAUUUGAACCUGGUAGAUUAUAUGAGCAUCUCCAUGCUAGAAAAUAUAGAAAAAAAUACUUGAUUCUUCUUCCAUAGACUCUGCACAAGGCUUCUUUCACUAUCCGCUUUGACCCCUUCUUUGUGGACUAGAAUUAUGUGAUUGUCCUUAUCCUUACGCUAUCAGACAUGCCGCUCGAGCAGCCCAUGCUGAACCCUUACCAUCUCACCAUGCAUUUGGAGGGAGAUCAUCCCCUACCAAUAAUAAUCCAAUGAAGAUCUUACUUUGGAAUUUUUGUGGGGCCAACGGCCUAGAGUUUCGACACCAUCUCUGCUUCUUGCUUGAUUAGAAUAACCCUACGAUCCUCUGCCUCACAAACCGCGCAUGGAAGAUCACACUUCUUUGCUCAACGAAUUCCACUUCACUGACCUUCUCCGGGUUGCUACCCAGGGUUACAUCGGGGGAAUCUGUAUCUCAUGGCGUGUUGAUGAGCUGAUAAUCUUAUCUACUCAUUGUUACUAGAUAGGAAGUCCACGCUUCCAUCCAGGUAUCAUCUUUUCCCACAAAGUGGUUUUUAUCCUUAUCUAUGCAAGUACUUCAUAUACUGCUCGUCAAAUUUUAUGGAAUAACCUUGAACAAUUUGCACACUCGCACACUCAUGCAUGGCUACUAUGUCAUGACUUCAAUGAAGUGACUACAAAUGCACACAAAUUUGGAGGCAACUCUACUAAUACUACUCAUGCUACUGCCUUCACUAACUAUUUGAAUAAUACCAAUAUGCUAGAUCUUGUCUUCACAGGCUCUCGUUUUACUUGGUCCAACAAACAAAAAAAAUCAUAUUUUAACUUAAUUCUAGAAUUCGAUAAAUAUUUUGCUAACCAGAAUGGCUCCAUUGUUCCCCGACUCUACCGCACUACAUCUUCCCCGUACAUAUUCAGACACUGCCGCUUGUUGCUUAAUCUCACUAAGGAAACCAUUAAACCACCCCCUCAUUGCCGCUUAGAAACCAUGUGGUUCAACCACCCAGACUUUCCUAACGUAGUUGCUAAUAACUGGGCUGAUAAUCAUGAUUACUUCUUCGGUCUUAACAAUUUUACUAAUCAUAUAAAAUAUUGAAAUAAGCAUACUUUUGGUAACAUCUAUUAUAAGAAAAACAUUACCUUGCCUCGAUUAGAUAGCUUACAAAAAAUGGAUCUUACUACUAAAAAUAAUUUUCACUAUAACCUUGAAAAUAGAAUUCUUGUAGAUUUUAAUGCCACUCUAAGAAUUGAAGAAGAUUUUCAGGAAACUUAAGCCCAUAUACAGUGGCUUAAUGAUGGCGAUGCUAACACUAGUUUUUCCACCUAUCCACUAUGCAAUGUCGUCGUCGCAAUCGUAUCCAUGUUCUCUCAUAUACGGCGGGCAAUUGGUCCUUUGAUCCCAAUACUAUCCGCUCUAUAUUUAUUCAAUAUUUUAUCCAUAUUUACACUACCCAACUACCUCACUGGUCCGUUAUCCCAGUCACUCUUAACGCAUUCCACCUUUCCCUAGUGGCUAUACAAUCUUUACAUGUCCGCUUCUUCAAUCCAAAAUUCACCAUGCCAUUAAUUCUUUUAAGCGUCAUAAAAAACAUGGUCCAGAUGGUCUUCACCUCAUUUGUUUUUUCAAAAAUAUUGGGAUCAACACAAAAUGCUACUCCCUUUGUUUCAGUUUAGAUGAGUAGUUUGACUCGGUACGGAGUUUAAUAAAAAAAGAAGACUUUUGAAACUUGUGGUCUUAAAAGCUUAAGGGGUAAAGCUUUGUUGGGGCCAUGACAUUUGUAUGGUUAUAAAAGUUUCUCAUUAAGGGUAAAAUGAGUAAAAUGAAGAGUUUAAGGUUGAAUUAUUUCCAAAUUUAGAAAUAUAUCAUUCAUUUUUGGAACACACUAAAAAGGAAAGUACUUUAUCUAAUUUGAAAUAGAGGGAGUAUUACUUAAAUUUGCACAAAUUCUUUUAACACUGGCACAAUCCCUUCAGACCUUAACCAAAAACCCUUCGGAAAUUACUCAGUAUGGACCAAUUCGGCUAUGUAACAUCAUCUACAAGACCAUCACUAAAAUACUGGCUAAUCGUAUUAGGUCAUUUCUCCCCACUCUAAUCGCUCCCACACAAUGUAGUUUUGUUCUGGGUAGACGUGCAGUUUUUAAUGCCAUUAUUGUUCAGGAGGCUUUAUAUUCCUUUCAUAAAUCCAAAGGCAAGUUAGGCAAAGUGUUGCUUAAAAUCGAUCUUAAAAAAACAUUUAACCGCCUCGAAUGGUCAUUUAUUUGCUACUCCCUACAAAAACUCAACUUUCCCCCUUCGAUUAUUAAACUUAUUAUGUCCUGUAUUACAACCUCUUCAAUUCUAUACAUGUCAAUGGAAAGCAUAUUCCUUACUUUCACCCAUCGUGCAAGAUACGUCAAGACGACCCCCUCUCUCCCUAUCUUUUUAUUAUUUGCAAGAAAAUUUUUUCUCAACUCAUCUAGGAAGCAACACUCUCAGAUUGUCUAUCUCCCACUCCUCUUUGCCGAUGAUCUCAUUCUUUUCUCAAAAUCAGAUCUUCCCAGUGCCCAUUCAAUUAUCCAUUAUUUCACCAAUUAAGUGCCCAAUCGGAUCAACAACUAAAUUUUCACAAAUCAAAACUUAUUUUCUCAAAUAAUGUACCCCAAAAUCAACAACACCUACUUGCCUCUCUUUUAAACAUUCGACCCCCUUCUUUAUUUGGUAAAUACUUAGGGUUUCCCCUCACAAACUUAUACCCCAAAUCUUCUGACUACCAAUAUAUUCUUUAUUACAUGAACAAUCGACUUCAAGGAUGGAAGACUAAAUUCCUUUCUCUCACAGGGAGAACCACCUUUAUUUAAUCAGUUCUCAACUCCAUUUCCACUUACGCUAUGCAAAAUCACAUUCUACCAUCUAAGACACUCCUCCAUAUUGAGCACAUCCAACGAAUCUUUCUCUAGGUCUCUAUACCCACACAUCACAAAAUCCACCUACUCCCUUGGGAUGCGGGAUGCAAUUACCAAACCCAAAUCCUAGGGUGGAUUGGGGCUUCCCCAAGCCCACACCAAAGGCAUCGCUGUGCUUGCUUGCCUUGCAUGGUGUUUGUCUACCUUACCAAACCUUUUAUGGGUUCAAACUCUCUCUGCCCAAUAUUGUACCACUCAUUGCACUCCUCCUUCGCCUCUUAAAUUCACUACUAAACCAUCUGACUCACAUAUAUGAAAAAGUCUCAGUAAAGCUGUUCCCUUUGCCAAAACUGUUCAUCAGCAACAUUAGCUUAUAGACCGACAACUGGAUAUUUCCUAAUUUUUCCCUUCGUUCUUUAAUUCAAGUACCACUCAUUGCCUAUGAACACCAACUCAUACUUAAUUUCAUUCUAACACUAUCCUCUUCUUAUGACCUCUCCUUGCUUUCCUUUGAUGUACAAACAAAUAUCUAACGUCUCAUUCACAACACUCUCAUCCAUCCACAAUCUGGCAAACAGGACACUCACUGUUGGCACCCAUCCCA